AUUCCCUUAGCUUAGUUGGUAAAGCAUCUGACUCUUAAUCAGAAGACCCAGAGUUCGAAUCUCUGAGGGAAUACCA
rnacentral:tRNA from 1 species